GUGCCAGCAGCCGCGGUAAUACAGAGGUCCCGAGCGUUGUUCGGAUUCACUGGGCGUAAAGGGUGCGUAGGUGGUGGGGUAAGUCGGAUGUGAAAUCUCCAAGCUCAACUUGGAAAUGGCAUUGGAAACUGCCCUGCUAGAGGAUCGGAGGGGGGACUGGAAUACUUGGUGUAGCAGUGAAAUGCGUAGAUAUCAAGUGGAACACCAGUGGCGAAGGCGAGUCCCUGGACGAUACCUGACACUGAGGCACGAAAGCUAGGGGAGCAAACAGGAUUAGAAACCCCCGUAGUCC
rnacentral:rRNA from 1 species